CUUUCUGGAGAGUUCAAGUGUGGGUCGAAGAAUCGAUUCUAGCUUUUUUUUUUUUUUUUAAGUUUCCUGUCGUUCUUUUGCUCAGAUCAGCAAUGAAGAUAUUUCAGGAUUUUCGGAAACUGGCUUUGGAGAUUCCCAAACUGUUUCCAAGACAAAACAUUCAACUGUAAGAAAAUGAAACCCUAAAUAUUCACAAACAAAGCUUAGAUUGUAAAAUGAUAUACAAUUGAAAAAAAAAAACUUUAUUUGUUCAUGUGAACAAUACAGCUGCAUUUUACGUGUUUCUGUUAAGCAAGUAAAAAAGAAUUAAGAAAAAACAAUAAAUAAACUUAAUCUGA